rnacentral:lncRNA from 1 species
AAGAUACCAUUGCAGAGUCAAAUAAUGUGACAUACUCAGAAGUCGGGAAAAGAGGAAAGAAAUGCAAAAGCAAAGGUGAGAUUCAGUUUUUCCUGAAGUACAAUACUUUCAGAAUGUUCUGAAUAAUCUGACUGAUCUUCUGUUUUGUAGAUAUUAAUACUGCAUUACCCAGCGAUUUGACUUACGCACAGAUCAAUAUACAGGACAAGAAGAAAACCAAAGGCAAAGGUAAACACAACAAACUGCAUCCAAAGACACUGAUUCAUCAAAUUUAACUUGGAUAUAAUAAUUUUAUAAUAUGAGAAAAAUAAACAUUGUAAACAGGGCUGAUAGAGCCAGUUCAUGCGACUUAAUUUGAGAAAUGUAACAAAAAUCACAACACAACAAUCACAUCUGUAUGUUUUUACUGAAAUGAGUGAGUCUGAGUAUUUAAGAGAUGUUAAGAUAUUAAGAGAUGAUAAAAAGCAGGCCUAACAGACUAAAGAGUCAGAUAACAUCCUGCUGUUUUCAUGAUAGGUGCUGGACUUUCUGAUGUUCUGAUUGAAAUGAAAACUAAGAACAAACACAGAGGGAAGAGCAGUGAGUCUGGAGACACUUUGUACUCUGAACUGAAGCAGAACACAGACAGAGAUGCUGAUGCUGAAGUUGGUGAUGCAACCUAUGCUCAAUCUAUUAAGAAGAAGAAUAAAACACGUAAGAAUUUGCACUUGUUCCUGCAGAUUGUGGCACAUAUUGGUUCUCUUACAUUAUAAAUUUGCAAUUAUUAUCAAUCUACUAUUAUAGCCUAUUAAUUGAAUAACAUAUAUAAAUAUAUAUUAUACUGUCUUAAUUGUUAACAUUUUUCAUAAUGCAUUAUCUUCUUAUCGAUCCACUAGUUCACAUUUACAACUCUGCAUGUUUGCUGGAUAAAAACAUGGGUUGAUUUUCACUUUUAUCUGAACAAAAGCAGUCAGGCUUAUUAAAAAAUGCACAUUAAUUAUCUGCCAGCAGGAGGCGCUUUUGGAACAGCAGAAAUACAGGGGUUUCCACGGUAACAGCAAUAGGGCAGCACAGCAGCUGUUUUUGAACCGUGCAGUGCUCAUUUUUAUUCAAUAAAAUCAUAGCCUUUCAAAGUUUAAUUGUCACACUAAGCCAUAUCGCAAUUCUAGUUUUAAUGGCAUCCCCAAAUUUAAGAGGUUUUAUGGCCUUAAAUUUGAUACAGCUAAAUGUAAGACUUUUUUAAGGACCCAUCAACUUUUUUUAAGUUUUGAGAAUGCCAUUGUUUUUCACUCACUGGAAGUUUCAUCUGUCUGUGCGCCUGUAAAGAUAGUCCACUGAAGACGAGUGUAGUGAGAACCCAAGUGCAGUUUAUUUACAAGGUGAUAAUCCAAACAUCCAAACAAUAAAAAAAGACUUGACUUGAACAGACUUGAACAAACGUGAACAGACUUGACUAGACCUGACUUGGCUUGACUUGAACAGACUUGACAAGGCUUGAACAGACUUAGCAUGAAACAGACUUGACUUGACAUAGACUGGACUCACCGACAGCAGGUUACAACAUUAAUACACGACAAGAGACAAUGGCAAAGACAUGGCUACUUAUACAGACAAUGAGGGUCACGUGACAUGAACAAACCAAUGGGAAACAAGACACAUGGCUAAAGCAACCAAUGAGCAAACAGAACUGAUAAUCACAUGACAAGACAGUAACCAAUGAGAACAUGACACAUACACAAGGCAGAGAUACAUGAGGGCAAGGGAAGCAUGACACAAACAGCAUAAAUCAAACUACAAAAUAAAAGACAUGAAAACAAUAAACAAGAAACAAAACUCAAAACAGACCGUACAGUGCCGCUCUCUUCACUGCACGCACGACUGCACUUCUGACCGUAGCAACAGUUAACUGUAAUAGUAGCCUGUGGUGCCGUAGGACCUAAGCGGCUGUACUGAGCUACCCUUGAUGUGCUUGAUAUACAUUUCAUUAUGUUAGAAAAUAGCAUUUGGCAUUUAUUUAUUUCAUUAUGUCAAAAGGCUUCGCAGUCCGGAUGGAUGCAUCUCGCGGUCCGGGUUCGGACCGGGGUCCGCCAGUCGGUGACCCCUGCACUAACCUUGCGAAAUAACCAUCAUGCACCAUUUACAACAGUGUAAUAAAUAGUGUAACUGGGCAUUUAGUUGAUAAAAUUCAAUACAAUGUGUUCUUUGUCUUAUAAAAGAAUGCCUGUGUUUUUGCCAAGUCAUUAACACAGAUGAAGAUGAUUUUUCUUAAAUGCAUGUAUUUUCAGUAAGAACCAUAAAGAAAUUAAUAAUUGUAUGCAAGGGCAUUGUUUUAAGAAAACAUUUUAAAUGUCUUACAUUUAUAUUCUUAAUAUGGUUAAAAUUUUUAUAACUGUUUUGCAGAUAUGUUCUCAGUUGUUCACUCAUUGAUUUUAUAGGAUUUGCGAUCGCUUUAGACUUAGAGUAUUAAAUGUGGAAACUGUAUAAAUAAAGCUCUGUUUAAACUUUACUUGCUUUUUUUUUUUUACAACACUGAGUUCAUUUUUAUAAACAUUAUAAAAAAUGUCAUAUAUGUACACUGAAAAAAAGCGCAAUAAAAUAAAAGAUUCUCUUUCUCUGGAUCA